CCCCUUUAACUCCACAGUGAACCACCCUAUAUUCGGAGUGUUCCUUCGGGAACUAUGGACAUAAACGCGCUCGUAAUAAGCGGAUCGGACCCGGGGGCGGUACCCGGCGGCUCCACCAAAUAUCCUUCGUUUGGGGAUUAUGGGGCCGAAAUAGGAUCGACGGACGUCUAAAGGGGUUAGCUUUGUCUCGGCUGUCUGCCACCGUUACCGGCGAAAACAGUACAAUUGCAAACGACAAUCGUGCUCCGGUUGCUCUGGCUGCGUAAGCAGUCCGAGUUGAACCGACUUUAAGCCCUAGCGCCUAGCAGCGUUAGGCGGGGUUCGCAGGUACCUGGCAACAGAAACCUGCACU
rnacentral:tmRNA from 1 species